rnacentral:rRNA from 1 species
GACGAACGCUGGCGGCGUGCUUAACACAUGCAAGUCGAACGGUGAAGCGCUUUCCUUUUUGGUUGGUGUGGAUGAGUGGCGAACGGGUGAGUAACACGUGAGUAACCUGCCCCCUUCUUCUGGAUAACCGCAUGAAAGUGUGGCUAAUACGGGAUAUUCUGCGCCUGCUGCAUGGUGGGUGUGGGAAAGAUUGUGCCUUUGGGUGUUUUCGGUGGGGGAUGGGCUCGCGGCCUAUCAGCUUGUUGGUGGGGUGAUGGCCUACCAAGGCGGUGACGGGUAGCCGGCCGGAGAGGGUGGACGGUCACACUGGGACUGAGACACGGCCCAGACUCCUACGGGAGGCAGCAGUGGGGAAUAUUGCACAAGGGGCGCAAGCCUGAUGCAGCGACGCCGCGUGAGGGAUGGAGGCCUUCGGGUUGUGAACCUCUUUCGCCAGUGAAGCAGGCCUGCUCCUUGUGGGUGGGUUGACGGUAGCUGGAGAAGAAGCGCCGGCUAACUACGUG